rnacentral:rRNA from 1 species
GACGAACGCUGGCGGCGUGCUUAACACAUGCAAGUCGAACGGAAAGGCCCUGCUUUUGUGGGGCGCUCGAGUGGCGAACGGGUGAGUAACACGCGAGUAACAUGCCCUUGACUUUGGGAUAACUUCAGGAAACUGGGGCUAAUACCGGAUAGGAGCUACUGCUGCAUGGUGGGGGAUGGAAAGUUUCGGCGGUUGGGGCUGGAUUCGCGGCAUAUCAGCUUGUUGGUGGGGUAGUGGUAUACCAAGGCUUUGACGGGUAGCCCGCCUUGGAGGGUGACCGGCCUCAUGGGUACUGAGAUACGGACCAGUCUCCAACGUGACGCAGCAGUGGGGAACAUUGCAGAGUAAGCCGACGCCUGAUGCAGAAGCGUCGCGUGCGGGAAGACGUCCUUCUGGUUGUAAACCACUUUCGACGGUAACGAAGCCUGAGUGACGGUAAUGGGUAAGGAAGCAACGGCUAACUACGUG